rnacentral:rRNA from 1 species
CCUACGUGCGGCAGCAGUGAGGAAUAUUGGUCAAUGGGCGAGAGCCUGAACCAGCCAAGCAGCGUGAAGGAUGACUGCCCUAUGGGUUGUAAACUUCUUUUAUAGAGGAAUAAAUUACGGCACGUGUCCCUUAUUGUGUGUAUUUUAUGAAUAAGUAUCGGCUAACUCCGUGCCAGCAGCCGCGGUAAUACGGAGGAUCCGGGCGUUAUCCGGAUUUAUUGGGUUUAAAGGGUGGGUAGAGGGGUGGUUAAGUCAGUGGGGAAAGUUGCCGGCUCAACCCUGAAAGAGCAAUGGAUGCUGGCAGACGUGAGUACAGGGGAGGUAGGAGGAAGUCGUGGUGUAGCGGUGAAAUGCUUAGAUAUCAUGAAGAACUACGAUUGCGAAGGCAGCGUACUA